GCCUUUGUAGCUUAGGGGUAGAGCGUUGCACUUGUAUUGAAUGCAAAGGUCACUGGUUCGAUUCCAGUCUGAGGCA